ACCUGGGUGGCUCAGUCGGUUGGGCGUCCGACUUUGGCUCAGAUCUCACUGUUCGUGGGUUCGAGUCCCGCGUCGGGCU
rnacentral:tRNA from 1 species